rnacentral:lncRNA from 1 species
AUGGGCUCUGGGGAGGGGAAGAAAAGAGUUGCACAAGAGGCUUCAGCUGACACUGCCAAAAUAGCAGCAAAGCUUAGCAUUCCAAGCUGUUCCCUGCUGGCAUUCCUCCAAUCAGGCACCCGGCCCGGGGGUGGCAGCCUGGGGUGGAGUGGCCUUGUUAAAGCCUCACUCUUUUUAGUUGCAUUUCUCAGACACUGCCCUUGUCUCCACUGGAAGGACUCUCACCUGUUCUCUGCACAAGAGGUAACUGAAAAUGUCAGACACUGAAGAGAUCAUUGAGGAAUAUGAAGAGUAAGUACUAGGUUCUUCAAUGUUUUCCUUUCCCAUCUAUAUGCAGAAAUGUGUCUUGCUUUUCUGUCACUCACUUUGAUUUAUGUGGCUGUGUGGUCAUUCAGAUAUGCCAUUCUUAUAUUUCUAGAAUCUGGUCCAGAGGGGAGAUAAAUCACAGCAUGAAAUCAUUCUGAAUGAUUAGGGUGCUGAUCCAUAGCAAAUAUUUUAUUUAUCUUCCCCUCUGAUGUUUAGGUAGUGAGUGCUGCUGUGUAAAGAGCUAAAAUGCUACUAUCUACAUACAAGAAAGAGGUUGCACUUGGGGAAACCAUUCUUUAGGAAAAAGCUCUGAAGGGGGAAACCUCCGAAAGAGGCCAAUAAGAACUGAGCAUGCUCAGUGUUUUCAGAAUGCUGUCUGACUCUUGGGAGGUGAACUGGAAAAUAGGGCUGGAGAAUGGAAUGGAGAGGCUGGAAUCUUGAACACAAGGACUGCAUACUGCAAUAUUUUGUUCCAGGUCAUUAGAUAAUAGCAAUUGAUAAACCUAACAUUUAUGCAUUUGUGUAACACUUCCUUUUUUUUAAAGUGCUAGUGAGCUAGCCCCCCCCCCUUUAGCCUGUGAUCUUUGGAUGAAGGGUGGUAUAGAAAUUCAAUAAAUUAAUAAUAAUAAUAAUAAUAAUAAUAAUAAUAAUAAUAAUAAUAAUAAUAUAAGGAGGGAGUGAAGAUCAGAAUCAGAAUUUUUUUAUCAGCAUGGGAAUAAUAAUAUAUCAGCAUGGGAAUAAUAAUAAUAAUAAUAAUAAUAAUAAUAAUUUAUAUCCUGCCCAUCUGGCUGGGUUUCCCCAGCCACUCUGGGCGGCUCCCAGUAGAAUGUUAAAAACCACAAUAAAUACAUCAAACAUUAAAAACUUCCCUAAACAGGGCUGCCUUCAGAUAUCUUCUAAAAGUCAGAUAGUUGUUUAUUUCCUUGACAUCUGAUGGGAGGGCAUUCCACAGGGCAGGCACCACCACCAAGAAGCCCCUCUGCCUGGUUCCCUGUAGCGUCACUUCUCGCAGUGAGAGAACCGCCAAAAGGCUUCAGAGUCCUCAGUGUCCAGGCUGAAGGAUGGGGGUGGAGAUGCUCCUUCAGGUAUACUGGAUAUAAAAACACACACUUAACAAAGUAGAGCUGCGGAAGUGCCAAUUUCUAUUUCACUUCAGGCACCACAAAUGUCUAGGGCCAAUCCUCUUGAUAAUUUUAGUAUUUCUGAUAAAGCACUUAGAGAGUUUGUUACAAGCAAGUGGUAUAUAAAUUUUAUCAGAAAACGAAGUGUUGAGAAGGGAUUCCAAACCCCAGAGGUGAGGGUCUCACUAGGCUUCUUCUAAAAUUAAAAGAGAAUCUGGGUCUCUGAGGAUUCUCAGGACCUUCAUGUAGGAAACCUGACCCAAGCAUAGAAUGACAGGCUGUUGGGAUUUAAACAUUUUGGAUACUGGAAGAAAUGUAGAUACAGUACUUAAUUAGGAACCAGUAAGAGCCAUGGGACGUGGGUGGUGCUGUGGGUAAAAGCCUCAGCGCCUAGGGCUUGCCAAUUGAAGGUCGGUGUU